ACGGCAAGGUUUUAUUGCUCGGGAAGAAGCCGUUUUUAUCUGUUCACGAGUGGUUUGUACGUGCCACGAGUGUGGGUCCCACCUGCCGUUUUGGACUCGAGCCGACUUGAUCGAGCUGAGAUCGGGUCGAGCUUGAUUCAGUUACCGGACGUAUCAAGAAAGGGUGAGAGGUGCCGGGGGCGACCGCGGACGAUGAGGACGUUUCCGGCGAGUAGGGCUUCCAGGAGCGCGAGGAGGAUGGGCGGAGUGCUGGUGGGAGCAGCGGAAUGAACGGAUCCAAGUUCCUUUUGGAGUUCAAGUUCGUGCAAAGAGUCCACAAGGGAAUAUGCGAGGAUACAUCAACUCAAAGAAGUAAUAGCUCUCAUAUAAGCAACAGGGAAGCCAUUUGUUUAGAGAAUCAGGAAAUAAAGGGGAUGAUGAGGGACCUCAUCACUACCUUAAUAUAAAAUGCUGGUCAUUCUUUGGGCUCACAAAAUCUGUGUCUCCUCUUCAAACAUCCAGCUAAACCACGUAAAUGCAGCAGCAUGUGGAUUUCCAGCUCCGCAUUUGAUCCUGACAUGUAUCCUCAUCAAACCUUCAAGAAGUUGAUUAAACUUGAUGCCAAUUACUACAAACAUAUGAGAAUGUGGUAACCAACCACCACAAUCUCAUGCCACCUUUUUACAGAAUCUUUCGAUAGUCCAGUCCAAUAUCUCUCUUUAAAUAAUGGGCAGUGGUUCAAAGGCAUUUGAGACAUACAUGAUUUAGAUCUUUUUCACAUUUUCCUAUAGAUCUUAGCUUUAGAUUCUUGCUGCGUUCGGUCCAUUUGUUCAUGUUGACAUGAUAGUUCCGACCAUGAAAUGCAUCUUUUGGACCUGACCUUAAUUCGAAAUCAACCAGAGAUCUUGAUGUUUCAUU